rnacentral:rRNA from 1 species
CACAUGCAAGUCGAGCGCCCCGCAAGGGGAGCGGCAGACGGGUGAGUAACGCGUGGGAAUCUACCCAUCUCUACGGAACAACUCCGGGAAACUGGAGCUAAUACCGUAUACGUCCUUCGGGAGAAAGAUUUAUCGGGNAUGGAUGAGCCCGCGUUGGAUUAGCUAGUUGGUGGGGUAAUGGCCUACCAAGGCGACGAUCCAUAGCUGGUCUGAGAGGAUGAUCAGCCACACUGGGACUGAGACACGGCCCANACUCCUACGG